GACGAACGCUGGCGGCGCGCUUAACACAUGCAAGUCGAACGGAAAGGCCUGCUUUCCCUUGUGGAUUGCGGGUACUCGAGUGGCGAACGGGUGAGUAACACGUGAGUGAUCUGCCCCCAACUUGGGUAUAAGCCUGGGAAACUGGGUCUAAUUCCCGAUAGGGCUGCAGGGUGGUGCCUGUGGUGGAAAACGAUUUUCUAGUGGUUGGGGAUGAGCUCGCGGCCUAUCAGCUUGUUGGUGGGGUAAUGGCCUACCAAGGCGGCGACGGGUAGCCGGCCUGAGAGGGUGGACGGCGACAUUGGGACUGAGAUACGGCCCAGACUCCUACGGGAGGCAGCAGUGGGGAAUAUUGCACAAUGGGCGGAAGCCUGAUGCAGCGACGCCGCGUGGGGGAUGACGGCCUUCGGGUUGUAAACUCCUUUCGACCGCGAGGAAGCCACCUGGUUGGAAGGGUGGUGACGGUAGUGGUAGAAGAAGCACCGGCUAACUACGUG
rnacentral:rRNA from 1 species